rnacentral:rRNA from 1 species
AUGGACAUGGGAGGAGGGCACGCCAUGGGCACGGGCAUGGGCGGCGCCGCCCCGGCGGCGGCGGCGGCGCACGGGGGCAUGCGGAUGCACUACAUGCACAUGACCUUCUACUGGGGCAAGAACUCGGAGAUCCUCUUCCACGGGUGGCCCGGCUCGAGCGGCGGCAUGUACGCGCUCGCGCUCCUCGUCGUCUUCGCGCUCGCCGUGCUCGUGGAGUGCCUCUCCUCCUGCCGCUGGCUCGAGUCCCGCCUCUCCUCCCGCGACCGGCCCGUGGCGGCGGGGGCGGCGCGCGCCGCCGUGCACGCGCUGCGCGUCGGGAUGGCGUACGUCCUCAUGCUCGCGCUCAUGUCGUUCAACGUCGGCGUGCUCCUCGUGGCAGUCGCCGGCCACGCGGUGGGGUUCCUUCUGUUCAGGGCCGGCCUGUUCGGCGGACAGGCGCAGGUGGAGGACGGGGCCAAGGACUACCUGGCGCCGGCGGCGUGCUGCUAG